UCAACCUCCCCUCUAGUUCCCUCGUUCUUUUCUCUCUCUUUAGACCCACAAGCUUCCUAGCCCUCUUCUCUCACUCAGUCGUCUUCUUCCCUGUUUUCUUCUAGACCAAACGUAUUUUCUCAGAUUCUGUCUCGUGUUCUCUCCCAUUUUCUUUUCCUUUCUUUCCUUCCAAGCAAUCCAAAACCAUUGGAUCUAAGCCUUUGAAUCUCCCGGUCCAGCGAGCCCUUGUUGAUGCCUGGAAACUUCUGGUUCGAUCGGGACGUCAAUGAUGGAUUCAAGGCCAACACACAGAGUCAUCUUCUUCCUGUCUUGGCAACAUCAAUUAAGGCAUAUCUCAGUGAACUGGUUUUCUGAAAAUGGUAGAAUUGAAAGUGGAGCUCAGACUGAUAAAAAAAGAAUCUGAUAAAAGAAUAGCCACUAAUAUCUCGAAGCAUCACUGCAUGCUCCUAUUACAUAUUAGCUGUAAACAAGAUGAUAUAUGUGAUUUUGAUGAUUAUUUUUUUUUCUAGCUCCUUGCAAGCUGUAAACCAGAUGAUAUAUGUGAUUUUGAAUUACAAGCAUGUGAUACUCAACCAUUAUUGCUGGUGCCACAAAGGAAUUCAUUUUCUUUUUGCGGCUUGAUAAUCUCUA